AGUCACGACGCAUAUCAAUAAGCGGAGGAAAAGAAACCAACAGGGAUUGCCCUAGUAACGGCGAGUGAAGCGGCAACAGCUCAAAUUUGAAAUCUGGCUCUCGGGCCCGAGUUGUAAUUUGUAGAGGAUACUUUUGAUGCGGUGCCUUCCGAGUUCCCUGGAACGGGACGCCAUAGAGGGUGAGAGCCCCGUCUGGUUGGAUGCCAAAUCUCUGUAAAGUUCCUUCAACGAGUCGAGUAGUUUGGGAAUGCUGCUCUAAAUGGGAGGUAUAUGUCUUCUAAAGCUAAAUACCGGCCAGAGACCGAUAGCGCACAAGUAGAGUGAUCGAAAGAUGAAAAGCACUUUGAAAAGAGAGUUAAAAAGUACGUGAAAUUGUUGAAAGGGAAGCGUUUAUGACCAGACUUGGGCUUGGUUAAUCAUCUGGGGUUCUCCCCAGUGCACUUUUCCAGUCCAGGCCAGCAUCAGUUUUCCCCGGGGGAUAAAGGCGGCGGGAAUGUGGCUCUCUUCGGGGAGUGUUAUAGCCCACCGUGUAAUACCCUGGGGGGGACUGAGGUUCGCGCAUCUGCAAGGAUGCGGCGUAAGGUCAU
rnacentral:rRNA from 1 species